rnacentral:snRNA from 1 species
GUGCUUGCUUUGGCAGCACAUAUACUAAAAUUGGAAUGAUAGAGAAAAUCAGCAUGGCCCCUGCACAAGGAGGACACACAAAUUCAUGAAGCAUUCCAUAUUAAA